rnacentral:rRNA from 1 species
UACGUAGGCAGCGAGCGUUGUUCGGAAUUACUGGGCGUAAAGAGUGUGUAGGCGGUGCUCCCAGUCUGUUGUGAAAUCUCCCGGCUUAACUGGGGGGGUGCAGCGGAAACUAGAGUGCUAGAGGGUGGGAGAGGUAAGCGGAAUUCCUGGUGUAGCGGUGAAAUGCGUAGAUAUCAGGAGGAACACCGGUGGCGAAGGCGGGUCUCUGGGCCGAUACUGACGCUGAGAAGCGAAAGCGUGGGGAGCGAACAGG